AGGACACCCGGGAGUGUCCUCAACUCUAAAACAUCAGUGCGAGUUUUAGCGAACAGCGUUGCUACAGCGAUUCUCCCUACUGUUACCAGCAGCCAGGUAAGACCCAGCUUACCGAAGAUCUAUCUCACUCUGAAGAUGAAAAUGCUGUGAACCCCAACGCAAAAUAUAACGCGCUACGAGAUCUGUUUAUCAAGCGUGGAAACUACCCAGCGUCUCCCAUGGGUAAUUUACGACGCAGCCCUCGCCAGAUGGAAGAAGUGGAAGAAGUCUCGUCCUUUACUCAGCACCUUGCACCUGGACAUCCCAAGGAAAAGGGGGGAGCGGGAAAAACAAUCCUCCGGAGUACGGCCCCGGGGAUGCCACCCUGGCAGACUCGGCACCAGCCGCGAGCAACUGUCUUAUUAAAGGCAGAGGUGAGGAGAAGAGGGAGAAUAAUAUCUAAUCCAUAAUCCCAUUAUAAGAGCAAGAGCGAAAUAGGUUGUUAGAAGAAACAAACUGGAAAGUCAAAUAGAAACAAAGGAAAACCUGAAAAUAAGAACAAGGAAGGAACACUGUAACUUGAAAGAGCUAGCCUACAGAGGAAAGCUAAAGGAGGAUUGUGUGACCUGCUCAAGGAACUUCUGCAGGAGAGGAGGAAAAGCAGAAAAGUGCAACAGGACUGUCCAGUGGAGGACCAGGAGGAUGAGUGCCUUUCCACCUUGCAAGUUUUGAGACAACUGGUGUCCUAGACCUCGGAACCAAAGCACAUGCAGUACUAGCCCAUUUGUCCAGGCUAUUCAGCCUUUAGCUGUAGGUUAUCAUGAAAUACCAGAGCUGGCAUCUAAAGCCACAGGCUACGGGAGGAAUUGCACCCUUAGACCACAUGCAGAAUUGACAGGCUGCCUGACAACCCACUGAGGGUUGUGCUCUGAAACAAACUAAUAGAAAACAUUAUAUUAGUGGGUUAUUUCCUUUUCAUUGUCCUCCAUUCUUCAUUUUCCCUUUUGGUACCCUAAUUUUUUCUCUACCUUUAUUUUCCAAUUAACGCAGAUUAGUAUCUUUGUUUCUCCACUUUGAUGUUUUAAGCUAUUUAGUCUGAUUUUAGGAUCAGACUGGAUAGAGACUUCUUUAUCUGUCUUCAACACUGUAUGUCUUUCCACCCUGAGCUGUGGUCCACUGCUAUCAUCCACCCAGAGUUAAAGGUUAGCUUCUGGCUUUAGCACAGGUGUAUACUUCAUAGACUCAUAGAAUGGUUUAGAUUGGAAGGGACUAAAGAUCAAUCAGUUUCAACCCCCCUGUCAUGGGCAGGGACACCUUCCACCAGACCAGGUUUCUCAAAGACCUAUCCAGCCUGACC